rnacentral:rRNA from 1 species
UACGUAGGGGGCAAGCGUUGUCCGGAUUUAUUGGGCGUAAAGAGCGUGUAGGCGGCUAGGUAGGUCCGUUGUGAUAACUCGAGGCUCAACCUCGAGACGUCGAUGGAAACCAUCUAGCUAGAGUCCGGAAGAGGAGAGUGGAAUUCCUGGUGUAGCGGUGAAAUGCGCAGAUAUCAGGAAGAACACCCGUGGCGAAGGCGGCUCUCUGGUACGUGACUGACGCUGAGACGCGAAAGCGUGGGGAGCGAACAGG